rnacentral:lncRNA from 1 species
AUGACCUCCAGGAGGAGGUCGCGCCCGCUGCAGUUUCUGCCGGCCUCCAGGAGGGGUUCGUUCCUGUUGCAGCUUCUGCUGCAGUUCCUGUCGGCUUCCAGGAGGAGGUCGUUCCUGUUGCAGCUUCCGCUGCAGCUCCUGUCGGCCUCUAGGAGGAGGUCGUUCCUGUUGCAGCUUCCGCUGCAGUUCCUGUCGGCCCCCAGGUGGAGGUCGUUCCUGUUGCAGUUCCCGCUGCGGUUCCCGCCGAGCUCCAGGAGGAGGCUGCGCCUGCCGCAGUUCCCGCUGCGGUUCCCGACGACCUCCAGGAGGAGGCCGCGCCUGCCGCAGUUCCCGCUGCGGUUCCCGACGACCUCCAGGAGGAGGCCGCGCCUGCCGCAGUUCCCGCUGCGGUUCCCGCCGACCUCCAGGAGGAGGCCGCGCCUGCCGCAGUUCCCGCUGCGGUUCCCGACGACCUCCAGGAGGAGGCCACGCCUGCCGCAGUUCCCGCUGCGGUUCCCGACGACCUCCAGGAGGAGGUCGCGCCCGCUGCAGUUCCUGCCGGCCUCCAGGAGGGGGUCGUUCCUGUUGCAGCUUCUGCUGCAGUUCCUGUCGGCCUCCAGGAGGAGGUCGUUCCUGUUGCAGCUUCCGCUGCAGUUCCUGUCGGCCCCCAGGAGGAGGUCGUUCCUGUUGCAGCUUCCGCUGCGGUUUCUGUCGGCCUCCAGGAGAAGGUUGUUCCUGCUGCGGUCGCCGGUAGUCCUGCAGAGACUUUUGUUUUUGUUCCUUUGUGCACAGGAGCCGUCCCGGGAGGUGCAGGAGGUUCUUGCGGAGCAUCGGCUCCUGGUGACCCGGCACCGGCCACGUGCGCCUCUACAUCUGGUAGCCUGGCACGGAUCACGUCUGCAGAGGCAGCUCCCAGUGGUUCGACCACGCUUGCAGAGGCAGCUCCCGGUGGUUCGACCACGCUUGCAUAGGCAGCUCCCAGUGGUUCGACCACGCUUGCAGAGGCAGCUCCCGGUGGUUUGA